rnacentral:rRNA from 1 species
GAUGAACGCUGGCGGCGUGCUUAACGCAUGCAAGUCGCACGUGAAGGGGUUUUCGGAUCUCUGAAAGUGGCGAACGGGUGAGUAAUACGUAGAUGACCUGCCUUAAAGUGGGGGAUAACUACUGGAAACGGUGGCUAAUACCGCAUAGAGCUGUGGCCGUUGGAAGGUUGCAGGGAAAGCCCCGGCGCUUAGAGAGGGGUCUACGUCCGAUUAGCUAGUUGGUGGGGUAAAGGCCUACCAAGGCGACGAUCGGUAGCUGGUCUGAGAGGACGAUCAGCCACACGGGAACUGAGACACGGUCCCGACUCCUACGGGGGGCAGCAGCGAGGAAUAGUGGGCAAUGGGCGAAAGCCUGACCCAGCAACGCCGCGUGAAGGAAGAAGGCCUUCGGGUUGUAAACUUCUUUUGUGGGGGAAGAGAGAGGACGGUACCCUGCGAAUAAGUCACGGCUAACUACGUGCCAGCCGCCGCGGUAA